rnacentral:lncRNA from 1 species
AUUAUAAAGAAAAAAAAUUGGUAAAUUGAUUUAUAUGCUGCUUUAAAAGUUUUAUUUUAUUUUACAUCUCUUAUAUCACUUCAUGAUUACACCCAAAUUGUCUUUUUCGAAAAAAGAUUGGCAAAUGUUUUUGGUCAUUUUUAAAACCGUUUUAGGUUCAUUGGAUGUAAUGCAAGAAUGAUUAUCUUCAUUGACAAUUUUAUAAAGAUGACGUAUUGAACAUUUCUGUUCAGUGGCGGAUCCAGCCAUUUUAAAAAGGGGGGGUUCCCAACCCAGAGUAAAGGGGGGGUUCCAACUAUAUGCUCCCAUUCAAAUGCAUUGAUCGGCGAAAAAAAAGGGGGGGUUCCAACCCCCGGAAACUCCCCCCCUGGAUCCGCCACUGCUGUUGAUAUGUCAUGUUAAUGUCCUGUUACAGUAAGAAUCACUUAGUCAAAAUUGUGAAAUAUUAAAAGCGAAAAAAUGAGAAAGAGAUUGAAAAGGUUGUAUUGAUUGAAAUCAAGUUAAAAAUCAUUUUCCUAGCUUUUUGUCAUAUAGAUUAUGAUUUUCUUUUCUGUCAAAAAAUGGCAAAUGCAGUUGUUUUAAUUUAUUUGUAAUCACAUUUUUCCAUGUUACGUGAUGUCUUGGGUCCAAAUAAAAUAUAGACUGAUGAAAUUUAUAUAUUUGUAUGUAUAUUAUAAGUAAUUUUUUUGACAAAUCAUGUUUAAAAAUGCUUUUGCAAGCUUUAUGUCCCUCCAAUUGUACACUGCAUUAAACAUUGAGUAAUAGAUGUAAAAACAGUUUUGACCUAUAAUGUUGAAUAUAAAGGUCAUUUUAUUCCAUUUUGUUCAAAGAAUAUGCUCCAUGUUUUAUUCAAACAAUGAAAACAUAUCUGCUUCAGUUAUUUUAAUUUUGUCCACCUUUCAAUUCAAACUCAUUGGUUGUACAGCUUCAUCCUAAUGAACUAUCAUAAGCACAUGUUGCAAAACAUAUAUAUACUGACUUUCAAUUCACAAUUUGAACCAACAUUUUCAACAAAGCAAAUCAAAACUCAUGCAGUGAUACCAAAUUGAACAUAGAUUAUUUAAAAAAAAAAAUGCAUUUAUCAUAUUUAUAUCAACAACUUAUAUUCCUGCUUUCAGCCUUCACUAUAAAGUUAAUCUAGAAAAGAGCUUCGGAUGCAUUAAAUUUAUCAAGUGUUGCUUUUAUAUUUUUCAGAACUUUAUAUUAAACGGCUAUAUUUCAUUCUUUCUAGAGAACAAAAUGAUUGACACUUUAAUUGUUCUGAUUGUUCUUUUAUAAA